rnacentral:misc_RNA from 1 species
GGAAGGAUCAUCAACAAAUCUCUUUAGCGAUUCGUUCGCUAUAUACCAAUGUGAAUUGCGCAUGGAAAUGCGACGUAAACUAGACCAGAGUCGGAUAAAUUAUUAAAUGAAACAACUUUUAACAAUGGAUCUCUUGGUUCUUGCAACGAUGAAGAACGCAGUGAAUUGCGAUAAGUAAUGUGACUUGCAACCUCUGUGAAUCAUCAAAUUUUUGAACGCACCUUGCACUUUCCGGGUCCACUGGAAAGUAUACCUGUUUGAGUAUCAGAAAGUACUCUACACUGUGGUGUAGGAGAUGGGGUUUUUCAGAGAUUCUCUGUUCCCUGGAAAGCAUCUGGAGCGAGUGUGGUAGGAAUAGGUAGUAUUCUCCCAUGAGCGACAACUAAUAGCCUUAGGGCUUUUGAACUUUGAUCUCAAAUCAGGUAGGACUACCCGCUGAACUUAAGCAUAUCAAUAAGCGGAGGAAAAGAAACUAACAAGGAUUCCCUCAGUAACGGCGAGUGAAGUGGGAAGAGCUCAAAUUUUAAAUCUGUGUGGUCUCCACACCGAGUUGUAAACUAUAGAGGCGUUUUCUGCGGCAUCGGUGGUACAAGUUCCCUGGAAAGGGACAUCAGAGAGGGUGAGAAUCCCGUACCUGACCACCUGCUUGCUGCUCUACGAUACGUCUUCUACGAGUCGAGUUGUUUGGGAAUGCAGCUCAAAAUGGGUGGUAAAUUUCAUCUAAAGCUAAAUAAUGGCAAGAGACCGAUAGCGAACAAGUACCGUGAGGGAAAGAUGAAAAGCACUUUGAAAAGAGAGUUAAAUAGUACGUGAAAUUGUUAAAAGGGAAACGAUUGAAACCAGUAUUUUUCCCUGGAUUCAGCCUAUUUCGGUAGGUGUAUUUUCCAGGGAAAAAGUCAGCAUCAGUUUUGAUUGCCGGAUAGAGCUAGUAGGAAGGUGACUCUCUCGGGAGUUUUAUAGACUAUUAGCAGAACGAUGGUCAAGACUGAGGACAGCAGCGUAGCGCAAGCAUUUCCUAAUCUCAGUAUUUAUUGGGCAGGCUGUACAGGCAAUUAUUGACUGUUUGGUACUGUUUGAUGAAUUGUUGGGUACGGUUACAUACGUUUAGGAUGCUGACGAAAUGGUUUUAAACGACCCGUCUUGAAACACGGACCAAGGAGUCUAACAUAUAUGCGAGUAUUAGAGUGGCAAACUCUAGUGCGUAAUGAAAGUGAAAGAUGGGAAUUUUUAUGCACCAUCUACCGAUCUUGAAGUUUGUUAAUGAAUAGAUUUGAGUAAGAGCAUAUCUGUUGGGACCCGAAAGAUGGUGAACUAUGCCUGAAUAGGGUGAAGCCAGAGGAAACUCUGGUGGAGGCUCGUAGCGGUUCUGACGUGCAAAUCGAUCGUCAAAUUUGGGUAUAGGGGCGAAAGACUAAUCGAACCAUCUAGUAGCUGGUUCCCUC